GGGCGUAGUGUGCAGUAGGGGCGCAUGUGGCAAAGGUUUUGGGUUGAGAAUUAUAAGCCCAAGUAGCUAUGGCGGCUCUUCAAAGUUGGCAUUUGAUAAAGCAAGUCCAGAGGCCUUCUUCUUCUUCUUUAGGGUGGAUUAUGUGACUUGAUGUGAAACCUUGUGCAUGAGACGUGGACGAUAUUAUCAAGGUUUGGAUAUGGCAUGAUCAAGGCUUGGCAAGAUAUCAUGGACAUGAAGAGAUUUUUGAAUGGGAUGAAAGACUUGAUGGCAUAAAUGGAGAAUCCAAGGGGGUGAAGACCAAAGUAGGCAAUGGGAUGGUCUAUUUGACUUUGGUCAAGUGUUUGAUCAAAAAGUCAACAGUUGACCAAAAGUCAACCUAGGUCAAAAUUCGGGUUUUCUUUAGGGAUGCUUUGUAAAUAUGGAGUUUGUAAUGUAUUUUUAUUGCUUUGAUCAUGAAAUAACAUUGUAUGGUCGUAACUUAUUUUCAAAGCAAUACAAAUGUUUUCCCUCCAUUUUGUGAA